CAUGCACUGUGUGGGGUCCUGAGGACCGAGUUUGAGAACCCCUGACCUAGACCAAUGCUAAUUACAGUAUCUAGAACUUUAACAUUUGGCUUGAAAAUACGUCUGUAACUGAAUUAUGAGAAGACGCUGCACUGAAUUACACACUUGAGGAAUUUGAGUAGAUUCAACAGUCAGAGCAAAAAUAACAGGAACUAGCUGUGAAUAUAUUGAAGAGAGGAAUCGGUGUGCUCCUACUAGUCAUGUGGAUGAAAUAGAAGG